UACGUAGGUGACAAGCGUUAUCCGGAUUUAUUGGGUUUAAAGGGUGCGUAGGCGGACUUUUAAGCGUGAGGUGAAAUGCCCGGGCUCAACCUGGGAACUGCCUCGCGGACUGGGAGUCUUGAAUGUCCGUGCCGUGGGAGGAAUGUGUGGUGUAGCGGUGAAAUGCAUAGAGAUCACACAGAACACCGAUUGCGAAGGCAUCUCACGAACGGAUGAUUGACGCUGAGGCACGAAAGCGUGGGGAUCAAGC
rnacentral:rRNA from 1 species